AUGAAGAAGGUGGCUGCUCCCCCUCCCAGGAAGGAUGUUGGACUGCCUCGCACUUUCAAGCAGAGGACUUUCGGCCUCUACUUUCGGUGCUUGGCGUCGGACCACUUCGUCGCGGGCUGCCGCGGCCCUGUCCGGUGCUUGGGAUGUGGCCACUCCGGCCAUCACAAGCGGGACUGCUUGGCACGGCAUCCUGCCGACAACCCUGCGACUCAUGGUGUCGUGCCGACGGCUGACCCCGGCGUGCCUUCUGCUAUUUUGGAGCCCUUGCGGCCUCUCCUUGCAGCUCAGUCGGAGGCACUCGGCGCUGAGCUACAGGCCUUGUUCGCUGCUCGUCUUGAGGUGCUGUUCAAGCCUCUUCAAGACUUGGUUGCUGCUGUGGAGAGUUGGACUGCUCAAGUCUCAAGCCUAUGGGAACCUAUGGAAGCUAUCGGGGGCAGCCAACACUUUGCCAAUGUUGAAUCUUCUCCUCCUGCUGUGGCCGUUGGUCAGGAUUGCAGUGCGCUUGUUGUGGCUGGCUGCUCAGCUGAGUUGAGUGAGAAGACUCAGUCCGUUGAUGAUCCGCCUGCCUUGGAAAAGGUCAUGCUUGAGGAUGAUCCUCCUGACUCUUCUGUACUACCCGGGAUGGUGAGUCAAGGCAUGGAGGAGCGGGCCAAGGUGUCUUCUUGUUUUGACAUGGUUAUGUCUGAGGUGGAGCCUGUUGAGCAGUCGACACUGGAGGAGCCGAAGGUUUCCAGUGCUCCUUGCACCGGGAAGCCUUCAAAGGAGAUGAUCCAGAUGGAUGCAGAUGAGCCUCUUGGGAGAGCCUCCUCUCCGUGGGGGAGUUCCUCGAAGAGCUUUCUCUCACUGUGUCGAGCUCGCCGCAAGUUUUGCAGGUGGGAGAGGCUGCCCCUUCUCUCUUAG
rnacentral:rRNA from 1 species